rnacentral:rRNA from 1 species
UCCUACGGGAGGCAGCAGUGGGGAAUAUUGCACAAUGGGGGGAACCCUGAUGCAGCCAUGCCGCGUGAAUGAAGAAGGCCUUCGGGUUGUAAAGUUCUUUCGGUGAUGAGGAAGGUGUUUUGUUUAAUAGACAAAGCAAUUGACGUUAGUCACAGAAGAAGCACCGGCUAACUCCGUGCCAGCAGCCGCGGUAAUACGGAGGGUGCGAGCGUUAAUCGGAAUAACUGGGCGUAAAGGGCACGCAGGCGGAUUGUUAAGUGAGAUGUGAAAGCCCCGAGCUUAACUUGGGAAUUGCAUUUCAGACUGGCUAUCUAGAGUAUUUUAGGGAGGGGUAGAAUUCCACGUGUAGCGGUGAAAUGCGUAGAGAUGUGGAGGAAUACCGAAGGCGAAGGCAGCCCCUUGGGAAUAUACUGACGCUCAUGUGCGAAAGCGUGGGGAGCAAACAGGAUUAGAUACCCUGGUAGUCC